UGCCCCGUGGCCUAAUUGGUUAAGGCGUCCGACUGUUAGGACAACCGGAGAUACUUCGCAUCAUCCUCGGAUGAUCAUCGGGAGAUUGAGAGUUCAAUCCUCUCCGGGGCAG
rfam:Botryobasidium botryosum FD-172 SS1 unplaced genomic scaffold BOTBOscaffold_94, whole genome shotgun sequence.